rnacentral:misc_RNA from 1 species
AGACUCCAGUAGUUCACUUUUAAAGAGUGGAUACUCCCAAACACCUUUGUAGUGACUAAUUGCAUCAAAAUCUAUCUCUCCCUUAAAGAUAAACAAUUUCUCGAUUAUACUGUAGAACAUUGUGUGAAAUUUGUCAAACCUGAGAUGAUGAGUGAGUGCAAAAAAUCCAUGGAAAAGACAUGGAGAGAAGUUAGUAUUAGUAAUGUACCUAGGAGCUGUUACACAGACCUUACUGGCUUACUAGCAGAAUAUCAGUUCAAGCGGAAAUACAAAAGGCUGCAACGACUACAUCAUUUUUUCAUAGCUGCUGGAGAUUUAUACCGACGUGAUACCAAAAAGGAAUCUGGAUGAUUGGGGAGCUAGCUACAUAGUUCAGGACACUUUUCAAUUGAGUACUCAGCAAAAUAAUUGUUACAUGGAUGUAGUAAGUCUGCUAAACACCUCUAGAGAUUUGAUAAUAAAUCUUUUUUAUUUAUAA